UUUUGAACGAAUCGGUCACGAACGACCCAUCACUAGUUUAUAAUGACUGCAUCUCAAUGAAUGGGAGAAUUUUUUGAGGUUAUGAUCUGGUAACACUGCUUCAAAUAGUACUAAAUCCAUUUAAGAAAUAAUAAAUAUUAGAUUGAAUUUUGGAAAGUAAGUUUUGGCAUACAAAGUGGUUUAUCGAAAAUCACUAACAAAUGAAAUGAGUAGUCCAAGCUAUCAAACAAUAACUAAGCGUCCGAGGGACUGUUUUUCUUGUAGAGUUGUGAGCGGUUCGGGUUUGAUUGGCGUAAGUGCAUUUUUAAUCUAUCAGAGUUGGAAAAGACGAGGUUAUGAAAAAUUAACAAUUACAACAAUAGCAUUAGUUGUGGGAGGCUUGGGAAUUGCUCGACUGCUGAAUCUGCCACCAUUUGACACUGCAUUUCUGCAUACUCCAAAGAAAUCUGAGUAAUGAAAAGAAACAAAAGGGCUUCUGCGGACAGCCGCCGGCAUACCACCUUGCUGACCGCCCGCAACGUGAUGAGGUGGUCUGGGUGGCGUGUCACACUCAGCAGCUGCGCAAGUGUGUUCACCCCCUUCUUGAAGUCUGCACUGUCAACUGUCAAACAACCACUAUGAGCUUAUGUAUGUUCUAGGACAUGAAAUGUAAAAAUAAUAAAAUUAUUUCAAACCUUACAAUCAAGAUUGUCCAAUGGAUUUGUAGAGACAACUUUUGGUGUAUGAGAUUCUGACUUCGCAAUCUUCUCCGAUGUCUGGUUCUUGUAUUUGUCCACUGAAACAAUAAAUUUUGUUGAAAACAAAAAUAAAA